rnacentral:rRNA from 1 species
GCGGUCCUUUAAGUCUGAUGGGAAAUCUCGCGGCUCAACCGCGAACGGUCAUUGGAAACUGGAGGACUUGAGUACAGAAGAGGAGAGUGGAAUUCCACGUGUAGCGGUGAAAUGCGUAGAGAUGUGGAGGAACACCAGUGGCGAAGGCGACUCUCUGGUCUGUAACUGACGCUGAGGAGCGAAAGCGUGGGGAGCGAACAGGAUUAGAUACCCUGGUAGUCCACGCCGUAAACGAUGAGUGCUAGGUGUUAGGGGGUUUCCGCCCCUUAGUGCUGAAGUUAACGCAUUAAGCACUCCGCCUGGGGAGUACGGCCGCAAGGCUGAAACUCAAAAGAAUUGACGGGGGCCCGCACAAGCGGUGGAGCAUGUGGUUUAAUUCGAAGCAACGCGAAGAACCUUACCAGGUCUUGACAUCCUCUGCCAUUCCUAGAGAUAGGAAGUUCCCUUCGGGGACAGAGUGACAGGUGGUGCAUGGUUGUCGUCAGCUCGUGUCGUGAGAUGUUGGGUUAAGUCCCGCAACGAGCGCAACCCUUGAUCUUAGUUGCCAGCAUUUAGUUGGGCACUCUAAGGUGACUGCCGGUGACAAACCGGAGGAAGGUGGGGAUGACGUCAAAUCAUCAUGCCCCUUAUGACCUGGGCUACACACGUGCUACAAUGGAUGGAACAAAGGGAAGCAAAACCGCGAGGUCAAGCAAAUCCCAUAAAACCNUUCNCAGUUCGGAUUGCAGGCUGCAACUCGCCUGCAUGAAGCCGGAAUCGCUAGUAAUCGCGGNUCAGCAUGCCGCGGUGAAUACGUUCC